GUCGGAGUGGUGGAAUUGGUAGACACGCACGAUUCAGGUUCGUGUGGUUAACGCCUUGUGGGUUCGAGUCCCAUCUUCGACA
rnacentral:tRNA from 1 species